UACGGGGGGAGCAAGCGUUGUUCGGAUUUACUGGGCGUAAAGGGCGCGUAGGCGGUCAGCACAAGUCAGUUGUGAAAUCUCCGGGCUUAACUCGGAAAGGUCAACUGAUACUGUGCGACUAGAGUGCAGAAGGGGCAACUGGAAUUCUCGGUGUAGCGGUGAAAUGCGUAGAUAUCGAGAGGAACACAUGCGGCGAAGGCGGGUUGCUGGGCUGACACUGACGCUGAUGCGCGAAAGCCAGGGGAGCGAACGGG
rnacentral:rRNA from 1 species